rnacentral:rRNA from 1 species
CGCUUCUUUUUCCACCGGAGCUUGCUCCACCGGAAAAAGAGGAGUGGCGAACGGGUGAGUAACACGUGGGUAACCUGCCCAUCAGAAGGGGAUAACACUUGGAAACAGGUGCUAAUACCGUAUAACAAUCGAAACCGCAUGGUUUUGAUUUGAAAGGCGCUUUCGGGUGUCGCUGAUGGAUGGACCCGCGGUGCAUUAGCUAGUUGGUGAGGUAACGGCUCACCAAGGCCACGAUGCAUAGCCGACCUGAGAGGGUGAUCGGCCACAUUGGGACUGAGACACGGCCCAAACUCCUACGGGAGGCAGCAGUAGGGAAUCUUCGGCAAUGGACGAAAGUCUGACCGAGCAACGCCGCGUGAGUGAAGAAGGUUUUCGGAUCGUAAAACUCUGUUGUUAGAGAAGAACAAGGAUGAGAGUAACUGUUCAUCCCUUGACGGUAUCUAACCAGAAAGCCACGGCUAACUACGUGCCAGCAGCCGCGG